ACUUGAUGGUGAGGGCAUUUGGUCAGAAGGUCCCUAGAGCAUUCCCAAGUCUCAAAAAAUUAUUCCCUAUCUAUCUGUGAGAAACUAGUGAUUGCCUUCCUCAACU